CUCUGCUCUCCAGGUGCUGGGUCACUGGUUUGAGUCUGAGCCACUGAAAGCCACUCUGGCCCACAGACGCUGUGAUCGGAGCCAUGA
ensembl:miRNA MIR1287 microRNA 1287